GGAGGCUUGUCCCAUCAGUCCAAUCCCGCUGCCGCCACCCGGUCUCGAUCCAUCUCAGGAUCCAUCCCCUCCUCGUUUCCACUCCCCAGCUCCUCCCGAUCCAUCCAGCUCCACCCCUCAAUUUCAUCAUCAAGCCAACCGGCGACCUCCCUGUGUAGCCGUGCCCCUGGCCCCGAUCCAGCCACCCGAGGACCAGCCUCCUCUCGCUCUCGUGCGCGAGCACGCACCCAGGAGAUCAAGCAGGGGAGCCCCGAUCCCGCAGCGCUAGGCACUCCUGCAUCCUCCCGUGCUUCCUCGCACCACCGAAGCCACCAAGAUCCCAUGCCAGGGAGCGCCACCGCCGGCGCUGCUCUGUUUCUUGCCCGAACCCACAGGAGCUCUGCCCCAACGCCAUGGCCGUCCUCUUCUUCCAAGUCUGCCCCGUCCUCACGUCUCCCGCGGUGAGCCGAGCCUUCCCGCCGCCUCGCCGCUCCAUGGACCACCUCUAGCAGGAGCAUCCAUGGCGCCUGCCGUUUCGAGCUCCAAGCCCCAGACGUCAAGUCCCCGUCCUUCGCCAUCACGAAGGCCGUCCAAGCUGCGCCUCGACCACCUGAUCCAGCCGCCCAUCCUCAGAUCCGUUCGUUUUUGCCGUUCCAAACCACCGCCGGGGCUCCUCCUUGUCGUCGGUGAGAUGCCCUACCGCUCCAGCGUUUUCCCCUGCACCUUCCCUGCCUCACAUCUCCCUCUCUCUUGGCCUCCUGAUGCACCACCCGGAGGAUGCCAAGCUGCCGAGGCACCUCCCCUACACCCUGCUUCACCUGGAUCCGUGAGCCCAUGCCUCCCCUGCCGCCGGCGAUGCUAAGUCCCUACCGCUGCGUUGUCGUUUGUCAGGCCUCACCUCUGCUUCGCUCGAACAGGGAGGAGAACACCUCUGCCUCUGUUCGCUCGGGUCGCCCGUGCAUUGACCGUGCCGCCGCCUUGUCAAGCCGCCCCUUGGGCCAGAUCCACCGACCGAGCUUGGCCCAAUUUGCAGGUGCCGAUGAUACCAGUGCAGAUGACGAUGUUGAGCUCAUGUGGGAGCUCGAAGAACAUUGUGUUCAUUGACUUGUUUCGUUUCCAGUUGAUCAGUAGAGGAGCCCAGUUGGGGCAAUCGGGGAUCUUUUGCAUUAGGGGUUGUCUUUCUUUAUUUGGUUCCGUAGUCGGACCUUGAUUGUAUUCUGGAUGAUGUA